UACGACGGGUACGGGUUGUGAGAGCAAGAGCCCGGAGAUGGAUUCUGAGACACGAAUCCAGGCCCUACGGGGUGCAGCAGGCGCGAAAACUUUACAAUGCGAGAAAUCGUGAUAAGGGAACCCCGAGUGCCCGUAAAUUCGGGCUGUCCGCCAGUGCAAAUAGCUGGUGAAGAAAGGGCCGGGCAAGACCGGUGCCAGCCGCCGCGGUAAUACCGGCGGCUCGAGUGGUGGCCACUAUUACUGGGCUUAAAGCGUCCGUAGCUUGAUUGUUAAGUCUCUUGGGAAAUCCACCGGCUCAACCGAUGGGCGUUCAGGAGAAACUGGCAAUCUAGGGACCGGGAGAGGUGAGAGGUACUCCAGGGGUAGGAGUGAAAUCCUGUAAUCCUUGGGGGACCACCUGUGGCGAAGGCGUCUCACUAGAACGGCUCCGACAGUGAGGGACGAAAGCUGGGGGAGCAAACCGGAUUAGAUACCCGGGUAGUCCCAGCUGUAAACGAUGCGCGUUAGGUGUAUCGGUGACCACGAGUCAUCGAGGUGCCGAAGGGAAACCGUGAAACGU
rnacentral:rRNA from 1 species